UACGAAGGGGGGCUAGCGUUGUUCGGAAUUACUGGGCGUAAAGCGCACGUAGGCGGAUAUUUAAGUCAGGGGUGAAAUCCCGGGGCUCAACCCCGGAACUGCCUUUGAUACUGGGUAUCUCGAGUCCGAGAGAGGUGAGUGGAAUUCCGAGUGUAGAGGUGAAAAUUCGUAGAUAUUCGGAGGAACACCAGUGGCGAAGGCGGCUCACUGGCUCGGUACUGACGCUGAGGUGCGAAAGCGUGGGGAGCAAACAGG
rnacentral:rRNA from 1 species